rnacentral:misc_RNA from 1 species
AACGCAUAUUGCGCCCUUUGGCAUUCCGAAGGGCAUGCCUGUUCGAGCGUCAUUACACCCCUCAAACUUGAUUGUUUGAUGUUGGGUAGUGCCUGUGGGCAUACCUAAAAGUCAGCGACGGUUUCAGCCAACCUCAGACGUACAAGUAUCGUUAUCGUGGGCGGUUGAGGCCUGUCCUUUAAUUAAAUAUCUAAAUGUUGACCUCGGAUCAGGUAGGAAUACCCGCUGAACUUAA